rnacentral:tRNA from 1 species
GCGUCUUUAGUUCAAUGGUAGAGCUCUAGUCUUCAAAACUUGAUGUUGAAGGUUCGAAUCCUUCAGGACGUG